AGACCCGAAACCCGGUGAUCUAGCCAUGGGCAGGUUGAAGGUUGGGUAACACUAACUGGAGGACCGAACCGACUAAUGUUGAAAAAUUAGCGGAUGACCUGUGGCUGGGGGUGAAAGGCCAAUCAAACCGGGAGAUAGCUGGUUCUCCCCGAAAGCUAUUUAGGUAGCGCCUCGUGAAUUCAUCUCCGGGGGUAGAGCACUGUUUCGGCUAGGGGGCCAUCCCGGCUUACCAACCCGAUGCAAACUGCGAAUACCGGAGAAUGUUAUCACGGGAGACACACGGCGGGUGCUAACGUCCGUCGUGAAGAGGGAAACAACCCAGACCGCCAGCUAAGGUCCCAAAGUCAUGGUUAAGUGGGAAACGAUGUGGGAAGGCCCAGACAGCCAGGAUGUUGGCUUAGAAGCAGCCAUCAUUUAAAGAAAGCGUAAUAGCUCACUGGUCGAGUCGGCCUGCGCGGAAGAUGUAACGGGGCUAAACCAUGCACCGAAGCUGCGGCAGCGACGCUGAUGCGUUGUUGGGUAGGGGAGCGUUCUGUAAGCCUGCGAAGGUGGCCUGUGAGGGUUGCUGGAGGUAUCAGAAGUGCGAAUGCUGACAUAAGUAACGAUAAAGCGGGUGAAAAGCCCGCUCGCCGGAAGACCAAGGGUUCCUGUCCAACGUUAAUCGGGGCAGGGUGAGUCGACCCCUAAGGCGAGGCCGAAAGGCGUAGUCGAUGGGAAACGGGUUAAUAUUCCCGUACUUGGUGUUACUGCGAAGGGGGGACGGAGAAGGCUAUGUUGGCCGGGCGACGGUUGUCCCGGUUUAAGCGUGUAGGUGUGUGUUCCAGGUAAAUCCGGUUCACUUUAACACUGAGGCGUGAUGACGAGGCACUAC
rnacentral:rRNA from 1 species